GACGAACGCUGGCGGCGUGCUUAACACAUGCAAGUCGAACGGUAAGGCCCUUCGGGGUACACGAGUGGCGAACGGGUGAGUAACACGUGGGUGAUCUGCCCUGCACUUCGGGAUAAGCCUGGGAAACUGGGUCUAAUACCGGAUAGGACCCUGGGAUGCAUGUCCUGGGGUGGAAAGCUUUUGCGGUGUGGGAUGGGCCCGCGGCCUAUCAGCGUGUUGGUGGGGUGAUGGCCUACCAGGGCGACGACGGGUAGCCGGCCUGAGAGGGUGAACGGCAACAAGGGGAGUGAGAUACGGCCUAGACUGCUACGGGGGGCAGCAGUGGGGAAUAUUGCACAAUGGGCGCAAGCCUGAUUCAGCGACGCCGCGUGAGGGAUGACGGCCUUCGGGUUGUAAACCUCUUUCAGCACCGACGAAGCGCAAGUGACGGUAGGUGCAGAAGAAGGACCGGCCAACUACGUGCCAGCAGCCGCCGUAA
rnacentral:rRNA from 1 species